rnacentral:lncRNA from 1 species
AUGCUCGCUGCUCUCUUGGAGCACGGACAGUGAAGGACGCCCUGGAGCAAGUGAUGGCGAUGGUGGAGGACGUGCUUCCUUGAGCACUCGACGGUGGAGGACGCGCCCCCCUGAGCUCGCAACGGUGGAGGACGCAACUCCAAAUCUGACCGUGCCACUGCAUCGCUGCUUCUUUUCCUAGUAAGCUACCCAUUGGAUCGAUUGCCUUCACAAUGGAAUCCGUUCAAUAGAAUCUAUUUAGCUACCCUGAGAUCUGAAAAUGAGUUUUUUUAUUUUGCUGUCCAUCCUUCAGUUUGUGUCUGCAAAUAUAGCUAUAUAAUCUAUAACUAAAUUAGAGCAACACCUUAGUCGGUGAUGUAGCCUGUGAUGCAGCCAACUAAAAAAUGCUUCCAUUCGGUAGUAUCUAUUUGGCUGGCUAUUCUGAACACUGCAUCAGUUUGUGUAUGUGAAUAUAGGUAUGAUCUAUGAACUGAAUUGGAACAACACUUUAGUCUAUGAUGCAGCGAACUAAAAGAAUGUGAUGUGAUGAAGCCACCCACCCACUAAAAAAUCAAGUGGACCUUAGUCUGUGAUUUGGGAUGCAGCCAACUAAAAAAUGCAAAAAAAAAAUUUAAUUAGGUAAGCCACCCGCCCGCCCGCUCCGUCGAAGUUGCAAGUCGCGGCAUUAUUCGCGCAAAAAUCGCGC